AUGUAAUGGUAUUAUGCACAUGCCUACAUUGGAUGCCAUUAGAACCCCUUAGUUAAGUACGCUCAAGAUAAAGUAGUACUAGGAUGGGUGACUGCCUGGGAAGUCCUAGUAUUUUACAUU
rfam:Picea glauca, whole genome shotgun sequence.